rnacentral:misc_RNA from 1 species
GGUAGACGAUCGGCACAUGUCCUCGGACAUGGCCCGAUAUGAACCUUCCCGUGCUUUUUAGAACAUAGAUGGCACCAGUCAGGUGACUAUCGAAACGUAAUACGCCGCGAUGACUUCGGUCACGACGGUAUGGCGAGCUUUCGCCGUCCACGUUUCUCUUUCUUCAAAAGGAUAUCGAACCAUUGGUUUGCGCUCGCGCGCUGUUCGCACCUUCGGUGCUGCGCUCCGCGGGGGCGCCGGACGACCGGCGACGGCCUCUGGCCUGUAUGGGCGACCCUUUCCGAGGUUUUGCUUGGGAUUGGCGUCGACGCAGAGAGAUGGGCCCGUAGCUCAGUUGGUUAGAGCACACGCUUGAUAAGCGUGGGGUCGGAAGUUCAAGUCUUCCCGGGCCCACCAUUUGCACGAGCAAAUGAGGUUUGCUGGUGCGAAUUGUGGUUUGUUUGGGUUUACCUGAUCCUGGCGGUUUGCUGUCAGGUGUUUGCGAUGGUUGGGGCUGUAGCUCAGCUGGGAGAGCACCUGCUUUGCAAGCAGGGGGUCAGCGGUUCGAUCCCGCUCAGCUCCACCAAUUCGCUUGGUGUCGAGACUGAGAGAUAUCCUUUGAAGAAAUAAAAGUUUUGCAUCGGCUUAUGGCUGAUGCGUGUUCUGCAUACAUUGUGAAGAGAAGAUUGAUCUGGAGGCUUCCAGGUGUCGUGGGUUUUUAUCCAUGAUGUCCGAGCCCAGUUCCUGUGAACCCAUGGAUGGCCUAGCCGGCCGGAUGUGGUGGAGGGAUUGGAGGUAGGAAGGAAGCUUGUCGCUCUGGGUCGUUGUUGUUUGCUGAUCUUUAGGGAUGAGCAUCUGGCGGACGACUUGAUUACCGUUGCCUGACCGCGCGGUAUCGGAUCCAAUCUCGAGAAGCUGGUCUUAAGACAGGCUGCAAGCGAGCUGCUCGGCGUAGCUCCAAUAAAGCAGACCUGUCGAACACGUUAAUGGCAUUGUUGGAUUGACUGGGUUGUAAAAGGUAACCCGGUCUGUUGCCGUUCCUUCGGAACGAGCAACGAGACGAUGAGCAUUGGCAAUGAGAACGAUUAAGUGUCGUAAGGGCAUUUGGUGGAUGCCUUGGCAUGCACAGGCGAUGAAGGACGUGAUACGCUGCGAAAAGCCGUGGGAGCUGCGAA